rnacentral:rRNA from 1 species
UACGUAGGGAGCGAGCGUUGUCCGGAAUUAUUGGGCGUAAAGGGUGCGUAGGCGGCACUGCAAGUCAGAUGUGAAAUCCCCGGGCUUAACUCGGGGGGUGCAUUUGAAACUGUAGAGCUUGAGUGAAGAAGAGGUAAGUGGAAUUCCUAGUGUAGCGGUGGAAUGCGUAGAUAUUAGGAGGAACACCAGUGGCGAAGGCGACUUACUGGUCUUUUACUGACGCUGAGGCACGAAAGCGUGGGGAG